UACGAAGGGGCGAGCGUUGUUCGGAUUUACUGGGCGUAAAGGGCGCGCAGGCGGCCGCAUUUGUCAGGCGUAGAAAGCCCCGGGCUUAACCUGGGAACCUGCCUCGAUUACUGGCGAUCUUGAGUCCGGAAGAGGUGAGUGGAACUCCUAGUGUAGAGGUGGAAUUCGUAGAUAUUAGGAAGAACACCAGUGGCGAAGGCGGCUCACUGGUCCGGUACUGACGCUGAGGUGACGAAAGCGUGGGGAGCAAAC
rnacentral:rRNA from 1 species